rfam:Rhizophagus irregularis DAOM 197198w jcf7180003189428, whole genome shotgun sequence.
CCUGAACGAAGCUUGCCACCUCUACGUGGUGUUCAGGAGAAACAGUUGUAAGUUAAUAACUGGCCAAGAGCAAGC